GAUGAACGCUGGCGGCGUGCUUAACACAUGCAAGUCGAACGAUGAAGCCCAGCUUGCUGGGUGGAUUAGUGGCGAACGGGUGAGUAACACGUGAGUAACCUGCCCUUGACUCUGGGAUAAGCCUGGGAAACUGGGUCUAAUACUGGAUAUGACUUCUCAUCGCAUGGUGGGGGGUGGAAAGAUUUAUUGGUCUUGGAUGGACUCGCGGCCUAUCAGCUUGUUGGUGAGGUAAUGGCUCACCAAGGCGACGACGGGUAGCCGGCCUGAGAGGGUGACCGGCCACGCUGGGACUGAGACACGGCCCAGACUCCUACGGGAGGCAGCAGUGGGGAAUAUUGCACAAUGGGCGCAAGCCUGAUGCAGCGACGCCGCGUGAGGGAUGACGGCCUUCGGGUUGUAAACCUCUUUCAGUAGGGAAGAAGCGAGAGUGACGGUACCUGCAGAAGAAGCGCCGGCUAACUACGUG
rnacentral:rRNA from 1 species